AUUGAACGCUGGCGGCAGGCCUAACACAUGCAAGUCGAACGAGUGGCGGACGGGUGAGUAAUGUCUGGGAAACUGCCCGAUGGAGGGGGAUAACUACUGGAAACGGUAGCUAAUACCGCAUACCAUCGGAUGUGCCCAGAUGGGAUUAGCUAGUAGGUGGGGUAACGGCUCACCUAGGCGACGAUCCCUAGCUGGUCUGCGAGGAUGACCAGCCACACCGGAACUGAGACACGGUCCAGACUCCUAAGGGAGGCAGCAGGGGGGAAUAGUGGACAAUGGGCGCAAGCCUGAUGCAGCCAUGCCGCGUGUAUGAAGAAGGCCUUCGGGUUGGAAAGUACUUUCAGCGAGGAGGCGGUACUCGCAGAAGAAGCAACGGCUAACUCCGUGCCAGUAGCCGCGGUAAUUC
rnacentral:rRNA from 1 species